GUGCUCAGAGCUUAUUGGAUCUGCCAGGCUUGCUAGGAUGCGGUGGACUCAAGGUUGGUCUUGAACUCACUAUGUAUCCAGGAAUGGCUUUGAACUUCUGAUCCUCCUGCUUCUACCUCUCAAGUGCUGGGAUUACAGACAUGGGCCUCACCUUGCCUAUGUAGUACUGGGAUUCAACCCCAGGCUCUGUGUUCGCUAGGUGACCCUUGGGGGUCGCGACCCACAGGUUGAGAACUUCAAAAGGAAGCACCGCUGGUGGUAUGCAUCAACUGUUUAUUGAAAUGCGAAGCAAGAUGGAGGAGGUUGAUGCUCAUACAUCCUCAAGUCUCAUCUCGAACCAUUCCUCUAAGGCACCUUCUCGGAGACUUCGGCUCAGGCAGGUGUCCUUUCUCUUUACAAAGCCCAGAGCUGAGUGACCCUUCAGUGCGCCCACCUCUGAACAGAUUUGGCCGUGGAUUUUAGUUUUUAGGGCCGUGAGUCAGCACAGUAGCAGUGGAAGCUGGGCAGUGUGAACUGAUAAUAUGAGGAGCUCGAAGACUUAAGAAGCUGGUAAAGUCCUCAGCCCUUGGCUGUAUCCACCUUUGCCGCAAAGCAUCCAACUUUGUUCUCAGAACCUAUUCACACCGUACUUUUGGCCCUUGAACAUGAAGACUCCUGGCCACCCUAACAUCUCUUAUAGCCACAAUCUGGCCUCAGUCCAAUCCCGCCUUCUCCCCAAAGCCACAGGUGGCAUCCCCUUGGCCUUUCUUACCUUCCAACACAGGGAGGGCCAGGGUCGGUUGAUAUACCGGAUGGGGAUUCUCUCUGGGUUAUAGGGGAGAGUGGUGGUACCCAGCCAGUCAUUGUAGAAGAGAUUAGGAUAGAAGUCAACCCCAUACCAUGUACUUUCCUCCACACUGGUGCCAUGGCUACAGACACAGGGGCGACUGCAGCUCAUCACGGAUCCCUGUGGGUACAGCGACAGAGGGAGGUCAGUCGAGUUGCCAUGGUAGCCCUUUCGCCCCUGCGUGAGGUCUCCUCACCACUCCUCUGUCACCUUGCCCUCACAGGCCACCUACCCUUGCAGAAUCCUUCCCUAAGUUCGUGCAUGAGCCAGGAGUUUGCAGCUUUACACCCGGCAGCUGUCUGUCUGCCUGCCUGUGUGUUUUCUCUGAGGACCAUCUGGCAGCUGGACUGAGUCCUGGGCCCACAGCGUCUUUGAUGUGACUUUAGAUUGGGUACUGACCUCUCAGGCUUCCUUUGUUGGCGAAAUAGAACUAAUAACGACCUUGUCCAGGAAAUAGGGCUAACGACGACAGCUGUUUCACUCAAUGGUCUUCUGUAAUUUGUAUGGCAUUGUCUUCCUCCAAUUUACUAAUUACCUGUGUGAUGUACACAUAUGUGCAGGCAAACCCAUGUGGAAGUGAAAGGAAGUUUUGCGAAGUCACCUAUCUCCCUUUGACCAAGUGAAUCCCCCAUUCAUCAGUUUGGCAGCAGCAUGUGUCUUUACCCCCAUGAGCCAUCUUGACAACUCCAAUUACUAUUUAUUUUAUUUUAUUUUAUUUCCCUCCUCAACUUUUGGGGCUCCCAUGUCUACAGUGAGAGAUCCUUAUGUUCCCCCUCAAAACUUCUGUCCCUUUCAGGACCCUUUCUGGGGGUAACUUUCGUAGAUGAUACUCAUGCAGUUGGGUGUGAGUCUUCACGCUGUUUGGUCCUGAAAGCAGGAGGCAGAUUUUCCCUACACACAAGUCCCAAGGAAUCGUGAGUUCAGGACUAAGGGCUCUCCAUCCUUUUGACUACUAGAUUUCCAGGAAGACCAUUUAGGAACCCACAAAAGGAGACCCUGAGAUCUUGGGGAUGGAAGGGACCUGUGUCCAUCGAGGUACUGGGGAAAAAACCUUGGCUCUUUCUGCUGCUUCAUCCCAUCAGUGCCAUGUGCAGCUUCAAACAAAAUAAAACCAGUGGACUUGU
ensembl:processed_transcript